UACGGAGGGUGCGAGCGUUGUCCGGAAUCACUGGGCGUAAAGGGCGCGUAGGCGGCAUGCCAAGCGUGUGGUGAAAGCCCGGGGCUCAACCCCGGGUCGGCCGUGCGGACUGGCGUGCUCGAGCACUGUAGGGGCGGGUGGAAUUCCGGGUGUAGCGGUGGAAUGCGUAGAGAUCAGGAGGAACACCGGUGGCGAAGGCGGGUCUCUGGGCAGUAACUGACGCUGAGGAGCGAAAGCGUGGGGAGCGAACAGG
rnacentral:rRNA from 1 species